UGCCAGACUCCUACGGGAGGCAGCAGUGAGGAAUAUUGGUCAAUGGCCGAGAGGCUGAACCAGCCAAGUCGCGUGAGGGAAGAAUGUCCUAUGGAUUGUAAACCUCUUUUGUCAGGGAGCAAAGUCACCCACGUGUGGGUGUUGGAGAGUACCUGAAGAAAAAGCAUCGGCUAACUCCGUGCCAGCAGCCGCGGUAAUACGGAGGAUGCGAGCGUUAUCCGGAUUUAUUGGGUUUAAAGGGCGCGUAGGCGGGAUGCCAAGUCAGCGGUAAAAAUGCGGUGCUCAACGCCGUCGAGCCGUUGAAACUGGCGUUCUUGAGUGGGCGAGAAGUAUGCGGAAUGCGUGGUGUAGCGGUGAAAUGCAUAGAUAUCACGCAGAACUCCGAUUGCGAAGGCAGCAUGCCGGCUUCCGACUGACGCUGAAGCACGAAAGCGUGGGGAUCGAACAGGAUUAGAUACCCCGGUA
rnacentral:rRNA from 1 species